rnacentral:rRNA from 1 species
UGAAGAAUAUUGGGCAAUGGGGGAAACCCUGACCCAGCAACGCCGCGUGAGGGAAGAAGGUUUUCGGAUUGUAAACCUCUGUCCCAUGGGACGAAACAAAUGACGGUACCAUGGGAGGAAGCCCCGGCUAACUACGUGCCAGCAGCCGCGGUAAUACGUAGGGGGCAAGCGUUGUCCGGAAUUAUUGGGCGUAAAGGGUGCGUAGGCGGCCUUUCAAGUUGGAUGUGAAAUCCCCGUGCUUAACAUGGGAAUUGCAUUCAAAACUGGAGGGCUUGAGUGUGGAAGAGGUAAGUGGAAUUCCCAGUGUAGCGGUGAAAUGCGUAGAUAUUGGGAGGAACACCAGUGGCGAAGGCGACUUACUGGGCCACAACUGACGCUGAUGCACGAAAGCGUGGGGAGCAAACAG